GACGAACGCUGGCGGCGUGCUUAACACAUGCAAGUCGAACGGAAAGGCCCUGCUUGCGGGGUCCUCGAGUGGCGAACGGGUGAGUAACACGUGGGUGAUCUGCCCUGCACUUCGGGAUAAGCCUGGGAAACUGGGUCUAAUACCGGGUAGGAGCCAUUUUUAGUGUGAUGGUUGGAAAGUUUUUUCGGUGUAGGAUGAGCUCGCGGCCUAUCAGCUUGUUGGUGGGGUAAUGGCCUACCAAGGCGGCGACGGGUAGCCGGCCUGAGAGGGUGGACGGCCACAGUGGGACUGAGAUACGGCCCAGACUCCGACGGGAGGCAGCAGGGGGGAAGAGUGCACAAGGGGCGCAAGCCUGAUGCAGCGACGCCGCGGGGGGGAGGACGGCCUUCGGGUUGGAAACUCCUUUCGCUAGGGACGGAGCUGUUUGUGACGGUACCUAGAUAAGAAGCACCGGCUAACUACGUG
rnacentral:rRNA from 1 species